AACGUAGGACGCAAGCGUUAUCCGGAGUUACUGGGCGUAAAGCGCGGGCAGGCGGCUCGAUGCGUCUGAUGUGAAAUCUCCUCGCUCAACGGGGAGAGGCCAUUGGAAACGGUCGGGCUGGAGGGCAGUAGAGGCAGGCGGAAUUCCGGGUGGAGUGGUGAAAUGCGUAGAGAUCCGGAGGAACACCAGAGGCGAAGGCGGCCUGCUGGGCUGCACCUGACGCUGAACCGCGAAAGCCAGGGGAGCGAACGGG
rnacentral:rRNA from 1 species